GAGGGUAUAGCUCAGUGGUAGAGUGCAUGCUUAGCAUGCAUAAGGUCAUGGGUUCAAUCUCCAGUACCUCUA
rnacentral:tRNA from 1 species